rnacentral:tRNA from 1 species
CGGGAUGUAGCGCAGCUCGGCUAGCGCGCUUCGUUCGGGACGAAGAGGUCGUCGGUUCAAAUCCGACCAUCCCGACCA